rnacentral:rRNA from 1 species
AUGCACGCUGGCGGCGUGCCUCAUACCUGCAAGUCGCGCGAACAGACGAGGAGCUUGCUCCUCUGACGUUAGCGGCGGACGGGUGAGUAACACGUGGAUAACCUACCUAUAAGACUGGGAUAACUUCGGGAAACCGGAGCUAAUACCGGAUAAUAUAUUGAACCGCAUGGUUCAAUAGUGAAAGACGGUUUUGCUGUCACUUAUAGAUGGAUCCGCGCCGCAUUAGCUAGUUGGUAAGGUAACGGCUUACCAAGGCGACGAUGCGUAGCCGACCUGAGAGGGUGAUCGGCCACACUGGAACUGAGACACGGUCCAGACUCCUACGGGAGGCAGCAGUAGGGAAUCUUCCGCAAUGGGCGAAAGCCUGACGGAGCAACGCCGCGUGAGUGAUGAAGGUCUUCGGAUCGUAAAACUCUGUUAUUAGGGAAGAACAAAUGUGUAAGUAACUAUGCACGUCUUGACGGUACCUAAUCAGAAAGCCACGGCUAACUACGUG